rnacentral:tRNA from 1 species
GGAGCGGUGCUGGAGUGGCCUAACAGGCACGCCUGGAAAGCGUGUAGGGGGGCAACCCUCUCGCGAGUUCGAAUCUCGCCCGCUCCGCCA